GACGAACGCUGGCGGCGCGCCUAACACAUGCAAGUCGAACGAGCGAGAGAGAGCUUGCUUUCUCGAGCGAGUGGCGAACGGGUGAGUAACGCGUGAGGAACCUGCCUCAAAGAGGGGGACAACAGUUGGAAACGACUGCUAAUACCGCAUAAGCCCACGGCUCGGCAUCGAGCAGAGGAAAAAGGAGCAAUCCGCUUUGAGAUGGCCUCGCGUCCGAUUAGCUAGUUGGUGAGGUAACGGCCCACCAAGGCAACGAUCGGUAGCCGGACUGAGAGGUUGAACGGCCACAUUGGGACUGAGACACGGCCCAGACUCCUACGGGAGGCAGCAGUGGGGAAUAUUGCACAAUGGGGGAAACCCUGAUGCAGCGACGCCGCGUGGAGGAAGAAGGUCUUCGGAUUGUAAACUCCUGUUGUUGGGGAAGAUAAUGACGGUACCCAACAAGGAAGUGACGGCUAACUACGUGCCAGCAGCCGCGGUAAAACGUAGGUCACAAGCGUUGUCCGGAAUUACUGGGUGUAAAGGGAGCGCAGGCGGGAAGACAAGUUGGAAGUGAAAUCUAUGGGCUCAACCCAUAAACUGCUUUCAAAACUGUUUUUCUUGAGUAGUGCAGAGGUAGGCGGAAUUCCCGGUGUAGCGGUGGAAUGCGUAGAUAUCGGGAGGAACACCAGUGGCGAAGGCGGCCUACUGGGCACCAACUGACGCUGAGGCUCGAAAGUGUGGGUAGCAAACAGGAUUAGAUACCCUGGUAGUCCACACCGUAAA
rnacentral:rRNA from 1 species